rnacentral:lncRNA from 1 species
GCUUAAUCUUUCCUUCUAGACUAUAAACUACUUAGAAUCUGGGAUUGCUUCUUAUUCAACUCCUUACUCUUCAUAACUGGUAUCACUGAAUCCUGGAUUCAGAAUGUGAACAGAUGAAGGAACAAAAACCAGACUUUUUCUUCUUGACAAUUUAGUGUAAAUCCUGGCGAAAUGUUCCCAUCACUCAUGAGUAUGCUGAAAGACUGUAAAAUGCCUCAUACAGUUGCAGCAAAGACAAGAAUGAAGGUCUUUGGAUUCCCUGGCAACCUAGGAAAUAUAACUCCCUGGCCUUGAAUC